UACGUAGGGGGCAAGCGUUGUCCGGAAUUAUUGGGCGUAAAGGGCACGCAGGCGGUUUGGCCAGUCUGAUGUGAAAAGCCACGGCUCAACCGUGGAGGGCCAUCAGAAACUGUCAGACUUGAGUGCAGAAGAGGAGAGCGGAAUUCCACGUGUAGCGGUGAAAUGCGUAGAGAUGUGGAGGAACACCAGUGGCGAAGGCGGCUCUCUGGUCUGACACUGACGCUGAGGUGCGAAAGCGUGGGGAGCGAACAGG
rnacentral:misc_RNA from 1 species